CCCGCCCCUCUCCCGGCGGCCGGGUUGGACCACCAAGGGAUACCCCAUGAGAAUCUUAGGCGGCGGGGGCUCGGCCCUCAGGUCGAGCAACCCGGCCCAAGGGCAGGGCAGUCUGGGACCCCCCCACUCUGCCCCAUCGUGCUGCUGGGGACCUGCGGGAGCUGCCUUACCAUUUCACUGAGGAACGUGAGCCACCACUGACAUCUGGAUAACGGCAGCCCCGCCUUCUCCUUGAAGCAGGUUGAGUGGAGGCGAGGCCCACGCUGAACCAGUGCAGGAAGAAUUGCAGUGAAAACCCCUCACCCAGGUCAGCUGACCCUCCUUGACUAUAAUCGCCCUGGAGAUUGGCCUGGUCCAGGAGCCGAGAGAGGAGUGAAGGGGACGAGGCCCGUCCAGGGAUUUGAGUCUCAGCAGUGUGCCGUGUCUCAGCCAUACCUCGUGGGGGUCCAAGGAUGGUCCUGGCCUUGGCUGGAGCAGAGGUCAGGCCAAUCCCAGCCAACAAGAGACUUGGGCCGACUCCAAGGACAGGACCCUGGAGGCCUCCUCGUUCCUUGCCCAGCCCCCUCCCACUGGGCCUGGGCCCCCGGCCAAGGAAGGCACUCGCAGGCUCACACUGCCCAGAGCUGGGAGCAGUUCCUGGACUCCAGGGCUUCAGAAAGUUCUGCGCUGCACUCGUGGCACCAUGUGGGGCAUCCCAGGAGCUGCAGACGUCCUGAGUGAGGCCACAACAAGCCACAGGCUGCAACAAGCCACACGGGAGUCUUGGGGCCAGGCCCCUCUUCGGAGAAACCAGGGCUGGACCUUCCAAGUCCUGCUCUGGGUCUCUUCAGCAACGGCAGGAACUUAAAAACCAUCCACACGUGGCUCUCUGUGGCAAGAAGCCAGGAGAACUGUGGCUUCUCUGAACCUGUUCUGGCAGGUGCUCUCCCCCUCCACAGGCCCCAGAGGAGAAGCUCCCCAGGGACUGCAGUGGCCUGACCUCCCAUGGAAGGGCCCAGGCCUCAUUCCUGGUCUAAUCCAAUCAGGAAGGCAGUCAAAUGCUCUCUGACAGUUCUUGCAUCUCAGGAAUCCACUCUAACCCCCUGGACUUGUUUCUGGAAGCUUGGGAGCAGUGUUCAGCCCAGCCUGGGAUGUUUGGGGCAAAAGCACCCCUCUCUCCCCUGCUUGAAGGGCUGAGCAGGAGGUCCCCGGGGCAGGGGCGACUAGGCUCCUGGGAGCCAGGGCGACACCUGGGAGCAGCCUACAGGCAAGAUGCCCCCAGGAGGCCAGUUGCGGCGACAGCAACUCUUGGAGUCCACAGAUAGGCCCUCCUUGGCCACUGUGGGUCCAAACACCCAGAAGAAGGAAGGACUGUUCAAUGCGAGGUGCCUGCUCCUCCAGAGAUUUGGUUUGAGUCUCAAGUUUCCAGAAGCAGCUUUCCAACCCCCAUCGCUCAGCUGUCAGCCAGGGGUCACUCGAGGAUCUCCUGGUUCCUUCCCUUUCCACCUACCAGAAAGCCUACCUGUGGCAAAGCUUAGAAAGGCAGCCGCGGACUUCCCUGGUGGCACAGUAGUUAAGAAUCCUCCUGCCAAUGCAGGGGACAUGGGUUCGAGCCCUGGUCCGGGAAGAUCCCACGUGCCGCGGAGCAACUAAGCCCCUGCGCCACAGCUACUGAGCCCGCGUGUCACAACUGCUGCAGCCCGCGUGCCUAGAGCCUGUGCUCCACAACAAGAGAAGCCAUCGUGAUGAGAAGCCCGCGCACCGCAACGAAGAGUAGCCCCCACUCGCUGCAACUAGAGAAAGCCCGCUCACAGCCACGUGACCCAA